UUUAUCUGAAAUCGCCCAUUUUGAUUUUCAGGUCGAGUUUCCGGAGAAAAAGUUUGGGUAGGUAUUUGCAAUUUUGUUAAAGAAUGGUCGUCACUGACAGCAAAGCAGAAAAAAGGUUUCCGCAGACUUUACCAACAAGCAUGCCAUUGUAAAAUAACGAAGAAUUAUAUACACAACAAUAACACCACAGUCAGGCCACAGUGUUAUUGGGAAACUUGGAAAAGCGUAAAAUAUGACUGUCAAAAUUUAUAUUCUAUCUGCGCACCUUCCUCUCAUCACAUGAAAGAAUGUGUUUGGUUGAAAAGCAGAGCCUAUCGUCACUGUAUGAAAGAAAAAAGAGAUUUUCUCUACAGAGAACCUUAAAUUUAUCUUAACAGAUUCAUCGUCGAUACUCUUUCGGAGGUAUCAUAAUGAGCUUUGCCACUAGGUGGCAGAAUUAUGCUCGAGUCUCAGUAGUAGGACGAAACUCUCUCUCUCGAAGUUUAUCAUUUAAAAUAUUUUAAGAGUACAAUUUUAUGACAUCGUAGAUUAGGAGAGUGAAAACACGAUUUUUAAAUGUAGAUCGGCCAAAAAAAAUAUAAAUUUAUCCAUCAGAAUUUACAUUAAAAUAUAUAUUAUGUUUUUCAAAUUUCUGCUGAUAAAGUAGGCAUUAUGUAUUUUAUGACACGUUCUGAUAAAUUAUGUCUGCGGUGAUUAAUUGCCAAUAUUUUUAAAUGUCAAUUUUGAUAUAAAUGCACCCUGGUUCAUCGCGUUCUUUUGUAAAUUAGAAAUAUGUUUAAAUGUAUGUAUUCAUUGUAGUAUUUAAAUUGUGUUUGUGAAGAACCUGUAUACUGGUCUCCAACGCGUAUAGUUUUGUAAUUAGGUCUACACUAGUAUUCAAGUGUAGUUGAUGGACCAAUAAAAACGUACAAAUGUAAUUUA